rnacentral:rRNA from 1 species
UACGAAGGGGGCUAGCGUUGUUCGGAAUUACUGGGCGUAAAGGGCGCGUAGGCGGCUGGCCAAGUCAGGGGUGAAAUCUUUCGGCUCAACCGGAAACGUGCCCCUGAUACUGGCCGGCUUGAGGAGGGUAGGGGCGGAUGGAACUUCCGGUGGAGCGGUGAAAUGCGUAGAUAUCGGAAGGAACGCCGGUGGCGAAAGCGAUCCGCUGGACCCUUUCUGACGCUGAGGCGCGAAAGCCAGGGGAGCGAACGGG